rnacentral:rRNA from 1 species
GUUUGAUCCUGGCUCAGAACGAACGCUGGCGGCAGGCCUAACACAUGCAAGUCGAGCGCACCUUCGGGUGAGCGGCGGACGGGUUAGUAACGCGUGGGAACAUACCCUUUUCUACGGAAUAGCCUCGGGAAACUGAGAGUAAUACCGUAUAAGCCCUUCGGGGGAAAGAUUUAUCGGGAAAGGAUUGGCCCGCGUUAGAUUAGAUAGUUGGUGGGGUAAUGGCCUACCAAGUCUACGAUCUAUAGCUGGUUUUAGAGGAUGAUCAGCAACACUGGGACUGAGACACGGCCCAGACUCCUACGGGAGGCAGCAGUGGGGAAUCUUAGACAAUGGGCGCAAGCCUGAUCUAGCCAUGCCGCGUGUGUGAUGAAGGUCUUAGGAUCGUAAAGCACUUUCGCCAGGGAUGAUAAUGACAGUACCUGGUAAAGAAACCCCGGCUAACUCCGUGCCAGCAGCCGCGGUAAUACGGAGGGGGUUAGCGUUGUUCGGAAUUACUGGGCGUAAAGCGUACGUAGGCGGAUUGGAAAGUUGGGGGUGAAAUCCCAGGGCUCAACCCUGGAACUGCCUCCAAAACUAUCAGUCUAGAGUUCGAGAGAGGUGAGUGGAAUUCCAAGUGUAGAGGUGAAAUUCGUAGAUAUUUGGAGGAACACCAGUGGCGAAGGCGGCUCACUGGCUCGAUACUGACGCUGAGGUACGAAAGUGUGGGGAGCAAACAGGAUUAGAUACCCUGGUAGUCCACACCGUAAAC